AGUGGCCCGCAUCAGCCUCCAAUGAUGGGGUCCCGGCACCCCGGAGCCACAAACGGCAUGUACCCGACUCCGCCCCCCGCACAGCCUGAUGGGACAGCGGCUGCUCCCAUCCAUUCAGGAGCUGAGAGCUAAAACUGGUCUCCUGAAACACUGCUCAACAAAACACCUGCACACAACCCUGUGUGAUACCUGCAAUUACACACACACUCACACAAACACGCAUUCACGCACGCACUCACUCACACACGCAAUCACUCCCACACACACACACACACACACGCACAUACUUACAUAUGUACGUACACACACACACGCACGCGCACUCACACAUACUUGCACACUCACACACAGUCUCACACACACACACACACACACACACACACACACAAGCACAUGUACAUUCCAUGACAGACUUACUUCACUGAAGGGUUUUUAUUUUUCUUGUAGAAUACAUAAGUACGUACGUACACACACACACACGCACUCAAACACAUACUUGCACACUCACACAGUCUCACACACACACACACACACACACAUACAAGCACAUGUACAUUCCAUGACUUCACUGAAGGGUUUUCAGUUUUCUUGUAGAAGAUAAAAGUAGCAUCUCUACUAGCAGGCAGCUUUGAGGAUGCUUCUGCCCGGUUGAGUUUCUGUUUAGCUUUGGACGCUGCUGCUUUUCUCCCAUUGUGUCUCCUGGAGGGGUCCGACGAGGCCAGCUGUGACAGACAGGCAGACAGACAGAUAUAACCCAUAAUGCACCACAGGGCUAGGCCUUGCGGUCUCCCCUGGCUGUGCUGGUCCUUCUCGCUCCACACAGGUGCCGCUUUGUGAAACGCGCACUGGCCGCCUGUCUCUCUCUGCUCUGAUUAAGUUUGGGAGGAUUCCGCUUUUUCAGUUUGGCCUUUAAUGUCCUCUUAAUCUACUCUAGGAUUUGUGUCGUUGCAUUUUCUUUGUCCAAUUUGAAAUCGAAAUUUGCUUCUCGAGUUUCACAGUGUCCAGUGCAGCUGAAACCUGUACACUGGAAAAUCCCCUUUUAAAAGGAUGCCAGCCAAAAUACCAUUUUAGAAGGUACAUUAAUAAAAGCACCGCUCUCCACAAUGUUUCAAAAUUGUCUUGAAAAGUGGGAAAUCUUUGUGAUGCUAGAAUUCAAAAGUAAGCAUGCGGAGGAUAUUUACAAAAGAAAAAAAGAUUCUGUCCUAACUUAGCAGCCAUCAAUUUACAGAACAAUUUUCAAUUUUUCAAAUAAAAUUUCAGAGAGGAAUAUUUUUUGAGUUUUUUUGCGCUACAGGCAAUCUUUAACAAAAAACAGCCAUAGUAUAUUUAAUGACCGGUUAAGUAAAGUGCCAAAUGGUUUCUGUUUAGUCAUUUUGAAAAGCCUUUGCACUUUUGUUUAUCAGUGAAAAUUUUCCCACUGGUUUGCUUUAUGAAAGCAGCACUUACGUAUUUGUCUCAUAUAAAUCCAAUUCGGCCGUGUGUAGCUAUGGAAUAGGCUUCUGAGAAAUAGCCACACGCUGCUUCUUCAGUGGCAUGCAUUUGUGUGAGCUUACGGUUUUGUCUGUCAGGUUUUUUACUGUUCAGAGUGGGAAAAGUCCUUAUCUUUUGAUGAAUGCCUUCCUGUUCCCCUUGAAGUUGGUGUGCAUAUACACGGCUGUGUAAAAGGCUUAGGAGUAUUUUGUAUUUGUCUACUCAAAUAAGAUGGCAAUUCAUUUUCAUUUCAAAUAUAUUUCUUUUUGAACUUUCUGCUACAAUUAACAUGUUUGUUCAUUACUGAACAUUUUGGCUUUUUGGAUUCCUUUGCUCAAUUUUUGAGUGCAGGUCUUUUAUGAUUGUGUAUACUAUAUAACAAAAUUAAAGCUUUGUGUUUAAGGUAAAUGCACCUGCAUGAAAAGUGUUUUAUUUAAAUAAUCUCUAUAGGCAUACAGUAAAGUGUGUAGGUAAUACAGUAUACAUAGUAACUACCCUGUCCUUUAAAACGGGACAGUUUUUGGGAAGGCCAAAAUCAUUUUGUAAUAAACCCUUUCAGAAUUAUGUCUUUCGACAUUCCAAAGAUCAUGUUGCUGUUGUUCAUCCAGAAAUUCACGUAAGUCACACUGUGUGCUUCUGACAGGCAGUCUGGAGUCUUUCUAGAAUAAUCUGACCCUCUGCACAGACUCUUAGUGUAUGGCCUGCCAGUGUGGAGUCUUUCUAGAAUAAUCUGGCCGUCUGCACAGGCUGUUUUAGAGUAUGGCCUGCCAGUGCGGAGUCUUUCUGGAAUAAUCUGGCCGUCUGCACAGGCUGUCUUAGAGUAUGGCCUUAGGUGUCAGCAGGCUGCCACCGUCCACCUGGAUUCACCCGAGUGGACCUGCAUUCCUUGCAGUGUCUGUUGCUUGUUCCUGGGGUCAGCUUCACUUUCAACCCUAUCCUCUCCUCUCCUCUCCCCUCUCUGACUUCCAGAAUGGGUCAUUAUAUAAUGGCAGAAACCAGAAGAGCAUUUUCCUUUGUGUGCUGUUAUUUUUGUGCUCUUGUGUCUUUUACUGUCCUCUUGUUUUUUGUAAUAUUGAUCUCUGCCUAGACUCUCUCUGUUCUUGAAAGUUUGUAUCUUUUUGUAUUGUUGAAUUCAUACCAUCGCCGUUGAAUAAAAGAUUUUUUAUGGUA